GCGGUAGUGGUCUAGCGGUAUGACAUGGGCUUCCCAAGCCUAUAAUCCGGGUUCGACCCCCGGUUAUCGCA
rnacentral:tRNA from 1 species